AGUCGAGCGGAGAUGAGGUGCUUGCACCUUAUCUUAGCGGCGGACGGGUGAGUAAUGCUUAGGAAUCUGCCUAUUAGUGGGGGACAACAUUCCGAAAGGAAUGCUAAUACCGCAUACGUCCUACGGGAGAAAGCAGGGGAUCUUCGGACCUUGCGCUAAUAGAUGAGCCUAAGUCGGAUUAGCUAGUUGGUGGGGUAAAGGCCUACCAAGGCGACGAUCUGUAGCGGGUCUGAGAGGAUGAUCCGCCACACUGGGACUGAGACACGGCCCAGACUCCUACGGGAGGCAGCAGUGGGGAAUAUUGGACAAUGGGGGGAACCCUGAUCCAGCCAUGCCGCGUGUGUGAAGAAGGCCUUAUGGUUGUAAAGCACUUUAAGCGAGGAGGAGGCUACUGAGACUAAUACUCCUGGAUAGUGGACGUUACUCGCAGAAUAAGCACCGGCUAACUCUGUGCCAGCAGCCGCGGUAAUACAGAGGGUGCGAGCGUUAAUCGGAUUUACUGGGCGUAAAGCGUGCGUAGGCGGCUUUUUAAGUCGGAUGUGAAAUCCCCGAGCUUAACUUGGGAAUUGCAUUCGAUACUGGGAAGCUAGAGUAUGGGAGAGGAUGGUAGAAUUCCAGGUGUAGCGGUGAAAUGCGUAGAGAUCUGGAGGAAUACCGAUGGCGAAGGCAGCCAUCUGGCCUAAUACUGACGCUGAGGUACGAAAGCAUGGGGAGCAAACAGGAUUAGAUACCCUGGUAGUCCAUGCCGUAAACGAUGUCUACUAGCCGUUGGGGCCUUUGAGGCUUUAGUGGCG
rnacentral:rRNA from 1 species